rnacentral:rRNA from 2 species
UACGAGGGGGGCAAGCGUUGUUCGGAAUUAUUGGGCGUAAAGGGCGCGUAGGCGGUUUGGCAAGUUUGGUGUGAAAUCUUCGGGCUCAACUCGAAGUCUGCACCGAAAACUGCCGGGCUUGAGUAUGGGAGAGGUGAGUGGAAUUUCCGGUGUAGCGGUGAAAUGCGUAGAUAUCGGAAGGAACACCUGUGGCGAAAGCGGCUCACUGGACCAUUACUGACGCUGAGGCGCGAAAGCUAGGGGAGCAAACAGG